AUUAGAAAUUCAUUACAUUGAUUUGUCUUUGUAUUCCGUGUUUUUAGACAGAUUUCACUCUCAAUGAAGAUUCUUUGCUGUGAGCAUCAAAAUUGUGGCUGCGGUCUUAAAUAUUCUGCAAAAAAAAAAGAUACAUUGUUUUCAGCUUUACAAGCCUUUUAAGAGCUUAGUUGUUUUAAAAUUACCACAUUUCCACAUGCUCUAAAUCACUAGAUAGAC